rnacentral:rRNA from 1 species
UACGUAGGGGGCUAGCGUUGUCCGGAAUCAUUGGGCGUAAAGCGCGCGUAGGCGGCCCGAUAAGUCUGCUGUGAAAGUCCAGGGCUCAACCCUGGAAAGCCGGUGGAUACUGUCGGGCUAGAGUCCGGAAGAGGCGAGUGGAAUUCCUGGUGUAGCGGUGGAAUGCGCAGAUAUCAGGAGGAACACCAAUAGCGAAGGCAGCUCGCUGGGACGUUACUGACAUUGAGGCGCGAAAGCGUGGGGAGCGAACAGG